UGAAUUGGGGGUUUUCGAAGCCAAAAUGCGUCAUUUUCACUUAAAUGGGGGAUUUUCCAAACGAAAACGCAUGAUUUUCUUUUUCGAUGGGGGAUUUUCAUAGAGAAAAGGCAUGAUUUUUGUGUUAAGUGAGGGAUAUUUGCAAAGAAAAGGCGUGAUUUUCGGGUUACAUGGGAGAUUUUUGUAGAGAAAAUGCGUGAUUUUCGGGAUAAAUGAGGGAUUCUUGAAGAGAAAAUGCGUGAUUUUCAAGUUAAAUGGGGGAUUCUCAAAGAGAAAUAGCCUUUUCUUCUGGUUAAAUGGGGGAUUAUCGAAGAGAAAAUGCACCAUUUUUGUUUACAGGUGAGAUUUUUGUAGAGGAAAUGCGUGAUUUUUUUGAUACAUGGGGGAUUCUUGUAGCAAAAAUGUUUGAUUUUGGGGUCCAGUGGGGGAUUUUUGAAGAGCAAAAGUGUGAUUUUCGAGUUAAAUGGGGGAUUUUCCAAGAGAAAAUGCGUGAUGUUGGGGAUGAUGGGGUAUUUUUGAAGAGAUAAAGCAUGAUUUGGGGGUAAAUGCGGGAUUUUCCAAGAGAAAAGGCGAGAUUUUUGAGUUAAAUGGGGGAUAUUCCAAGAGAAAAUGCGUGAUUUUGGGGUUAAAUGGGGGAUUGUUGAAGGGAAAAUGCAUGAUUUGGG
ensembl:lncRNA